AAGCGCCAGAGCCGCCCACGCGGCUGACGAGGCGGGAGGUUAUCGAAGUUUUCGGCGGAUGCCUCCCCGUUUUGCUUCCAAGCGGAGCCCUUCCCCAAAACCUCCGGGCAACCGGACCGACAAAGGGAG
rnacentral:ncRNA from 1 species